GCGCAUGUGGUGAAAUUGGUAGACACGCUGUCUUCAGGUGGCAGUGCCGCAAGGUGUGGAGGUUCGAGUCCUCUCAUGCGCA
rnacentral:tRNA from 1 species